rnacentral:tRNA from 1 species
GCGGGCGUGGCGAAACUGGCAGACGCGCUGGAUUUAGGUUCCAGUGGGGGAGACCCCGUGAAGGUUCGAGUCCUUUCGCCCGCACCA